CGGUUAAAACGCUCGUAGUUGAAUAUUUGUUGAGGAUCACUGGUCCAUCCUAGUGAUGUGCACCCGGUACGUCUUCAACACUUUUCUGGGGAAUGUGUUUGCACUUCAUUGUGUGGCAUACGAACCAGUACUUUUACUUUGAGGAAAUGAGAGUGUUUCAAGCAGGCGUUUGUCGUGAAUACGUUAGCAUGGAAUAAUAACAUAGGACCUUGUUCCGAAGUUGUUGGUUUUUGGAACGAGGUAAUCAAAAUAGGGAUAGUUGGGGGCAUUCGUAUUUAACUGUCAGAGGUGAAAUUCUUGGAUUUUUUAAAGACGAACUACUGCGAAAGCAUCUGCCCAGGAUGUUUUUAUUAAUCAAGAACGAAAGUUAGGGGAUCGAAGACGAUCAGAUACCGUCCUAGUCUUAACUAUAAACUAUACCGACUCAGGAUUGGCGAUGUUUUAACUUCGUCAGCACUGUAUGAGAAAUUAAAGUCUUUGGGUUCUGGGGGGAGUAUAGUCGCAAGGCUGAAACUUAAAGGAAUUGACGGAAGGGCACCACC
rnacentral:rRNA from 1 species